rnacentral:tRNA from 1 species
CGGGAUGUGGCCCAGCUUGGUAGGGCACCGGUUCGGGGGACCGGAGGCCGGCGGUUCGAGUCCGUCCAUCCCGA